UGAUUGAUAAUCAUGAGAUGAUUAUGUAUAUGUUGAUAUAAUUCAAUAAUCAUAAAUACUUGUUAGAGAACAAAGUAUUGGAUGGACCCGCAUUGAGAUCACUACAUGGGUCAUUGUCAUAAGUGAAUCUCAAAGUAGUUAUAUCUUAAUCCUUUGACUUGAGAUUGUCAUAGUUUCCAACAUAAGGACUGUUAUAUUUUGACAUAACCAAACGUUGUCUUUAAUCGGACAAUCAUAAAGGUUAUGAUUGAGCAUAAUAGAAAUUAUGUAGAGGAAAAUGAACAAUCAAGAUAGGAUUUGUCCCUCUCUAUGAGAGAGAUAUCUUCUAGGCCCCUCGAUGAGUGAGACUGAGAAAUGCAUGGCCGUGCUCAAAUGAAUUGAUAGUGUGAUCAAUAUCAUUUGAAUUUAUCAGUCUACUUAGAGAUCGAGAAAUUAUAAGUUUGAACAUUAUAAGUUUGACAUUGACCAUGACAUAUGUUCAAACUAGAUAUCGUGUGACAAAAGGAUUAAUUCAUGUUCUAUUUAUUAGGCUUUAUUGGACUAUUGAAUCUCAUAUUAGUUGGGUAGUCAUAAUGUCUUGCUAGAGGCCACUUAUGACUUAUGGGCCUUGUGGGACUGGGCCUAUUGCCAAUUAAUGUGAGCCUAUUGGGUCACACACAAAAGAACGUUGUUGAUGUGCUAUGUUAUAUUAAUGGGUUAAAAGCCCAAAACCCAUUAAUAUAAUUAAUAAUAAUAAAGUGUUAUUAUUAUUAAUCAUUAAUAUAAUUAAUAAUAAUAAAGUGUUAUUAUUAUUAAUAUUAAUUAUUAAUAUAAUUAAUAAUAAUAAGUGUUAUUAUUACUAAUAUUAAUUAUUAAUAUAAUUAAUAAUAAUAAAGUGUUAUUAUUAUUAAUCAUUUAUUAUUAUGAGAUAAUAAUAUUUAAAAGAUCUGCAGUCUAUCUGUAACUGUUACAGAUAAAGGAUUCUAUCACAUAAGAUAUUUGAGUAUCUGCGAGAUUGUAUUAGUUGGUUAUGAACACAACUCCUUUUAGGAAAAGAAGUUGUAGGAAAAAUAGAACUCCUUUUAGGAAAAGGAUUUGUGUAAAAAUAAAAGACUGAAACAUAUAAAUACCCCUUCUACGAAUUGUAGAGUGCGUGUGUUUUUGAGAAAACUCAGUCUAAAAGAUUGCAGAUUGUGGAGCACAUAAUCUAUCCAUUUUUGAGAGAGCUAGCACUCUAGAAGGAUAGAAGACGUUCGUGUGGAUAGUGUUCGUUUGAAAAGGCAGCACCAUCAGUCCAACAUUGUUUUUUCUUGGCGAGAUUAACAGGUUAGUAUCAUAUCUAUCUUAUUAAUUAAGCGAAGCACUCGGAUUCUGGAAAAGAAAAUCCAAAAUUUUAUUUUUUCGCUGCGCAAUUGGGUUGCAAUUAAUCUCUGGAUUUCCCAACAGUGGUAUCAGAGCCUGGUUGUGCUUUUCGUUUAAAAUUAAUUAUGCCAUGAUUGCUAUUAUAUAUGUGAUAUAUAUUUAUUAGAAUGACAUGAUAAUUAUGGUUAAAUUUAUGGAUGAAUGAUUGGAUCAUUUAGAUUAUUAGAAAAAUUAAAUUAAAAUUGUUCUUUUACAUCUAGAAUCAAAAUUGUUUUGAUUCGUUGUUUUAAGUUUUAAUUGUUAAAAUUAAAACAACAAUAAUAAAAAAAAAGAGGAAAUCAAUUUCUGGAAAAAUCGUGUUCAUGAGGAACGCGAUUUGGCCAUGGUCAAUCUGAGGACACCCAAUGACGGGCGUCGGACGCCUGUCACCUGUCACCCAAUGAAGCUGUCCCUGAACCACCUCCUGCUGAUGCUACUAAUGCUGUUAAGAACAAGUAUAAGAAGCAUAUGGAUGAUUCUAAUGACAUUGGAUGUCUUAUGUUGGCAACUAUGUGACAAGAACUUCAGAAGGAUCUGGAGCACCUUGAGGUCUAUGAGAUGAGUGUCCAUCUCAAACAGGCUUUCCAACAACAAGCUAGGCAGGACAGGUAUGAAACCACCAUCGCAUUGCAUGAUUGCAAAAUGGCUAAAGGUGAUUCAGUUAGUGCUCAUGUUUUAAAGAUGAAAGGUUACAUUGAUCACCUUGCUAGGCUUGGCUAUCCUCUUAGUUUAGAACUCUCCACGGAUUUGAUCCUACAUUCUUUACUUGGCAGUUUUUCUCAGUUUGUCAUGAACUAUAACAUAAACAAUAUGGAGAAAUCUAUUCCUGAGCUGCAUGGGAUGCUAAAAACAGCUGAGGUAAAUAUCAAGAAAAGGCCUACCCAAAUUUUGAAUGUCAAUAAGGGUAAGCCCAUGAAAAAUAAGGGGAAGCCCAAGUCUAAAGGUGGUAAUGGGCCUAAGGGACGAGGCAAGCCUAAAUGGCAAUCCAAGGCAAAAGUUCCUAAGGAAAUAGUUCCUAAGGAAGGAAUUUGCUUCCAUUGCAAGGAACCAGGGCAUUGGAAGAGAAAUUGCAAACUCUAUUUGGAUGAGUGCAAGAAGAAGAAGAGUAGUGAGACUACGACUUCAGGUAUUUAUGUUAUAGAUAUUAAUUUAUCUAUUUCUACUUCAUGGGUAUUAGAUACCAGAUAUGGUUCUCACAUUUGUACAAAUGUGCAGAGUCUCAAAAGGAGUAGAAAACUGAAAAAGGGCAAAGUGGACCUACGUGUAGGCAAUGGAGCAAGAGUUGCUGCCAUAGCUAUAGGGACUUAUGAACUUAUUUUGCCCGAUGGGUUUUUGUUAGUUUUGAAUAAUUGCCUUUAUGUUCCUAUUUUGAGUAGGAAUAUUAUUUUAGUUUCUGUUUUGGACGAUGAAAGUUUUUCAUUUCUUAUUAAGAAUAAGAAAUGCUCCAUUAAUAAAAAUGAUUUGCUUUAUUGUAUUGCAAAUUCAUAUGAUGGCCUUUAUGUCCUUGAUCUAGAUGUUUCUAGAGACAACAAUAUCUAUAACAUAACUUCUAAGAAAACUAAGCCAAAUGAGUUAAACCCAACAUAUUUAUGGCACUGUCGUCUUAACCAUAUGAAUGAGAAUCGCAUAUCUAAGCUCCAUAAGGAUGGUUUAUUAGAUUCAUUUGAUUUUGAAUCAUUUGAAAAUUGUGAAUCUUGUUUACUUGGUAAGAUGACAAAGGACCCUUUUACUGGACAAGGUCAAAGGGCUUCAGACUUAUUGGGCUUAGUACAUACAGAUGUAUGUGGCCCACUAAACAUUAGUGCCAGGGGAGGUUAUCAGUACUUCAUUACAUUCACUGAUGAUUUCAGUAGGUAUGGCUAUGGCUACCUAAUGAAACAUAAGCAUGAAUCUUUUGAAAUGUUUAGAACUUUUCAAAAUGAAGUACAAAAUCAACUUGGUAGAACUAUUAAAAUGCUUCGAUCUGAUCGAGGUGGUGAAUAUUUGAGCCAAGAGUUUGAUGAACAUCUUAGAAACUGUGGAAUUGUUUCACAAUUAACUCCUCCAGAAAGUCCACAAUGGAAUGGUGUUUCUGAAAGGAGAAAUUGAACUUUAUUAGAUAUGGUUUGAUCUAUGAUGAAUCAAACAAAUCUCCCUUUAUCGUUUUGGGGUUAUGCCUUGGGAAACAACUGCAUUCAUUCUAAACCGAGCGGUUGAAAAGACACCAUAUGAGUUAUGGACUGGGAAAAUGCCCAGUUUGUCUUUCCUUAAGAUUUGGGGUUGUGAGGCUUAUGUGAAACGUCCAGUUUAAGAUAAGCUAGCUCUAAAAUCUAUCAAGUGCAAUUUUGUGGGGUAUCCUAAGGAAACCAAAGGAUACUACUUUUAUACUCCCUCAGAGAACAAAGUGUUUGUUGCUCAAAAUGGUACCUUUUUGGAAAAGGAAUUUAUCUCUUAGAGAUUAAGUGGGAGUACAGUGCGACUUGAGGAAACUCAAGCACCACAAGAGAGCAUUGAACCACCGAUAGAACCACUUUCAGAACCACAAACAGUUGUGGAAACUGAAAGGGUGACACAAGUCCCACGCAGAUCUGAUAGGACACGUCAUCAGCCUGAGAGAUAUGGAUUUCUCAUGACUGAUAAUCGUGAACUUUUGCUCAUUGAUGAAGAUGAACCUUGUGUUUACAAGAUGGUUAGUGGGAGUGCAGUUGUGUUUCUAGUCCUAUAUGUGGAUGACAUAUUACUCAUUGGAAAUGAUAUCCCUACCUUGCAAAAGGUUAAGACUUGGUUUGGGAAUUCUUUUUCAAUGAAGGACUUAGGUGAGGCCGCAUAUAUCCUUGGUAUUAAGAUCUAUAGGGAUAGAUCCAAGAGGAUAAUCGGUCUGAGUCAAAGUACUUAUAUUGACAAGGUGCUGAAAAAGGUUGAGCAUGCAAGAUUCCAAGAGAGGAUUCUUGCCCAUGUCUCAUGGUAUUCAUCUUAGCAAGAAUCAAUGUCCUAUGACAUCUGAUGAGCGAGAACGGAUGAAUAAGAUCCCUUAUGCUUCUGCUAUUGGAUCUAUCAUGUAUGCCAUGUUAUGUACUAGACCAGACGUCUCAUAUGCCUUGAGCACAACAAGCAGGUAUCAAGCAGAUCCCGGUGAAAGUCACUGGACAGCUGUUAAGAAUAUCCUAAAAUACCUUAGAAGGACUAAGGAUGCAUUCCUAGUUUAUGGAGGUUUGGAAGACGAGCUAGUUGUAAGUGGUUACACAUAUGCUAGUUUCCAAACCGACAUAGAUGACUUCAGACCGCAGUCAGGAUUCGUAUUCAAUUUAAAUGGUGGAGUUAUUAGUUGGAAGAGUUCCAAGCAGAGCACUAUAGCAGAUUCUACAAUAGAAGCUGAGUAUAUAGCAGCACCAGAUGCAGCUAAAAGGGCAGUCUGGUUGAAGGAAUUUAUCUCAGAGUUGGGAAUGGUUUCCAGCAUUGCAAAUCCUAUGGACCUUUAUUAUGGUAAUAACGGUGCCAUAGCACAGGCAAAGGAGCCCAGAUCUCACCAGAGAUCUAAAACAUAUACUCAGGUGAUAUCACCUUAUUCGAGAGAUUAUUGAUAGAGGAGAUAUCAAAAUAUGCAAAGUAGACACAAAUGACAAUAUUGCAGAUCCACUGACUAAGCUUCUUUCACAGGUGAAGCAUGAUCAGCACACUAGGUCUAUGGGUAUUAGAUACUUAUAUGAUUAGGCCUAGUGCAAGUGGGAGAUUGUUAGUGUAUAUGCCCUAGGCCAUUAUCUUGGACCUUUUUAUAUGUCAUUUUGGUUAUUAAUAAAAGAGGUUUUUAUCAUUAUUAUUUGUUUGCAUGUUACAUAAUAAUGAUUAUCAUCCCUAGUUACUUAUUAGUAUGUUGAUAAUAAUAAAAUAUAACUGGUAUGAUUCUUGAUUGAUAAUCAUGAGAUGAUUAUGUAUAUGUUGAUAUAAUUCAAUAAUUAUAAAUACUUGUUAGAGAACAAAGUAUUGGAUGGACCCGCAUUGACUUGAGAUUGUCUUAAUCCUUUGACUUGAGAUUGUCAUAGUUUCCAACAUAAGGACUGUUAUGUUUUGACAUAACCAAACGUUGUCUUUAAUCGGACAAUCAUAAAGGUUAUGAUUGAGCAUAAUAGAAAUUAUGUAGAGGAAAAUGAACAAUCAAGAUAGGAUUUGUCCCUCUCUAUGAGAGAGAUAUCUUCUGGGCCCCUCGAUGAGUGAGACUGAGAAAUGCAUGGCCGUGCUCAAAUGAAUUGAUAGUGUGAUCAAUAUCAUUUGAAUUUAUCAGUCUACUUAGAGAUCGAGAAAUUAUAAGUUUGAAUAUUAUAAGUUUGACAUUGACC
rnacentral:lncRNA from 1 species